GCGCGAUUAGCUCAGUGGUAGAGCGCUUCAUUGACAUUGAAGAGGUCGCAGGUUCAAUCCCUGCAUCGCGCA
rnacentral:tRNA from 1 species